GAGUUUGAUCUUGGCUCAGGAUGAACGCUGGCGGCGUGCCUAAUACAUGCAAGUCGAGCGAACGGACGAGAAGCUUGCUUCUCUGAUGUUAGCGGCGGACGGGUGAGUAACACGUGGAUAACCUACCUAUAAGACUGGGAUAACUUCGGGAAACCGGAGCUAAAUACCGGAUAAUAUUUUGAACCGCAUGGUUCAAAAGUGAAAGACGGUCUUGCUGUCACUUAUAGAUGGAUCCGCGCUGCAUUAGCUAGUUGGUAAGGUAACGGCUUACCAAGGCAACGAUGCAUAGCCGACCUGAGAGGGUGAUCGGCCACACCUGGAACUGAGACACGGUCCAGACUCCUACGGGAGGCAGCAGUAGGGAAUCUUCCGCAAUGGGCGAAAGCCUGACGGAGCAACGCCGCGUCGAGUGAUGAAGGUCUUCGGAUCGUAAAACUCUGUUAUUAGGGAAGAACAUAUGUGUAAGUAACUGUGCACAUCUUGACGGUACCUAAUCAGAAAGCC
rnacentral:rRNA from 1 species